GGGUUGUGAGGUUAAGCGACUAAGCGUACACGGUGGAUGCCCUGGCAGUCAGAGGCGAUGAAGGGCGUGCUAAUCUGCGAUAAGCGCCGGUAAGGUGAUAUGAACCGUUAUAACCGGCGAUACCCGAAUGGGGAAACCCAGUGUGACUCGUCACACUAUCAUUAACUGAAUCCAUAGGUUAAUGAGGCGAACCGGGGGAACUGAAACAUCUAAGUACCCCGAGGAAAAGAAAUCAACCGAGAUUCCCCCAGUAGCGGCGAGCGAACGGGGAGGAGCCCAGAGCCUGAAUCAGCAUGUGUGUUAGUGGAAGCGUCUGGAAAGGCGCGCGAUACAGGGUGACAGCCCCGUACACAAAAGCGCAUGUGCUGUGAGCUCGAUGAGUAGGGCGGGACACGUGGUAUCCUGUCUGAAUAUGGGGGGACCAUCCUCCAAGGCUAAAUACUCCUGACUGACCGAUAGUGAACCAGUACCGUGAGGGAAAGGCGAAAAGAACCCCGGCGAGGGGAGUGAAAAAGAACCUGAAACCGUGUACGUACAAGCAGUGGGAGCACAGGUUUACCUGUGUGACUGCGUACCUUUUGUAUAAUGGGUCAGCGACUUAUAUUCUGUAGCAAGGUUAACCGUAUAGGGGAGCCGGAGGGAAACCGAGUCUUAACCGGGCGUUAAGUUGCAGGGUAUAGACCCGAAACCCGGUGAUCUAGCCAUGGGCAGGUUGAAGGUUGGGUAACACUAACUGGAGGACCGAACCGACUAAUGUUGAAAAAUUAGCGGAUGACCUGUGGCUGGGGGUGAAAGGCCAAUCAAACCGGGAGAUAGCUGGUUCUCCCCGAAAGCUAUUUAGGUAGCGCCUCGUGAAUUCAUCUCCGGGGGUAGAGCACUGUUUCGGCUAGGGGGCCAUCCCGGCUUACCAACCCGAUGCAAACUGCGAAUACCGGAGAAUGUUAUCACGGGAGACACACGGCGGGUGCUAACGUCCGUCGUGAAGAGGGAAACAACCCAGACCGCCAGCUAAGGUCCCAAAGUCAUGGUUAAGUGGGAAACGAUGUGGGAAGGCCCAGACAGCCAGGAUGUUGGCUUAGAAGCAGCCAUCAUUUAAAGAAAGCGUAAUAGCUCACUGGUCGAGUCGGCCUGCGCGGAAGAUGUAACGGGGCUAAACCAUGCACCGAAGCUGCGGCAGCGAACGUAUCACUUAAAGCGAUUCAGCGGAUGACGAUUGACGGAGCGAAGCGACGUCAAAGCGUAUACAAAGUCGAGUCGGUUUAAGGAUACGUUCGUUGGGUAGGGGAGCGUUCUGUAAGCCUGCGAAGGUGGCCUGUGAGGGUUGCUGGAGGUAUCAGAAGUGCGAAUGCUGACAUAAGUAACGAUAAAGCGGGUGAAAAGCCCGCUCGCCGGAAGACCAAGGGUUCCUGUCCAACGUUAAUCGGGGCAGGGUGAGUCGACCCCUAAGGCGAGGCCGAAAGGCGUAGUCGAUGGGAAACGGGUUAAUAUUCCCGUACUUGGUGUUACUGCGAAGGGGGGACGGAGAAGGCUAUGUUGGCCGGGCGACGGUUGUCCCGGUUUAAGCGUGUAGGUGUGUGUUCCAGGUAAAUCCGGUUCACUUUAACACUGAGGCGUGACGACGAGGCACUACGGUGCUGAAGCAACAAAUGCCCUGCUUCCAGGAAAAGCCUCUAAGCAUCAGGUAACAUCAAAUCGUACCCCAAACCGACACAGGUGGUCAGGUAGAGAAUACCAAGGCGCUUGAGAGAACUCGGGUGAAGGAACUAGGCAAAAUGGUGCCGUAACUUCGGGAGAAGGCACGCUGACAUGUAGGUGAAGUGAUUUACUCAUGGAGCUGAAGUCAGUCGAAGAUACCAGCUGGCUGCAACUGUUUAUUAAAAACACAGCACUGUGCAAACACGAAAGUGGACGUAUACGGUGUGACGCCUGCCCGGUGCCGGAAGGUUAAUUGAUGGGGUCAGCGCAAGCGAAGCUCCUGAUCGAAGCCCCGGUAAACGGCGGCCGUAACUAUAACGGUCCUAAGGUAGCGAAAUUCCUUGUCGGGUAAGUUCCGACCUGCACGAAUGGCGUAAUGAUGGCCAGGCUGUCUCCACCCGAGACUCAGUGAAAUUGAACUCGCUGUGAAGAUGCAGUGUACCCGCGGCAAGACGGAAAGACCCCGUGAACCUUUACUAUAGCUUGACACUGAACAUUGAGCCUUGAUGUGUAGGAUAGGUGGGAGGCUUUGAAGUGUGGACGCCAGUCUGCAUGGAGCCGACCUUGAAAUACCACCCUUUAAUGUUUGAUGUUCUAACGUGGACCCGUAAUCCGGGUUGCGGACAGUGUCUGGUGGGUAGUUUGACUGGGGCGGUCUCCUCCUAAAGAGUAACGGAGGAGCACGAAGGUUGGCUAAUCCUGGUCGGACAUCAGGAGGUUAGUGCAAUGGCAUAAGCCAGCUUGACUGCGAGCGUGACGGCGCGAGCAGGUGCGAAAGCAGGUCAUAGUGAUCCGGUGGUUCUGAAUGGAAGGGCCAUCGCUCAACGGAUAAAAGGUACUCCGGGGAUAACAGGCUGAUACCGCCCAAGAGUUCAUAUCGACGGCGGUGUUUGGCACCUCGAUGUCGGCUCAUCACAUCCUGGGGCUGAAGUAGGUCCCAAGGGUAUGGCUGUUCGCCAUUUAAAGUGGUACGCGAGCUGGGUUUAGAACGUCGUGAGACAGUUCGGUCCCUAUCUGCCGUGGGCGCUGGAGAACUGAGGGGGGCUGCUCCUAGUACGAGAGGACCGGAGUGGACGCAUCACUGGUGUUCGGGUUGUCAUGCCAAUGGCACUGCCCGGUAGCUAAAUGCGGAAGAGAUAAGUGCUGAAAGCAUCUAAGCACGAAACUUGCCCCGAGAUGAGUUCUCCCUGAGACUUUAGGUCUCCUGAAGGAACGUUGAAGACGACGACGUUGAUAGGCCGGGUGUGUAAGCGCAGCGAUGCGUUGAGCUAACCGGUACUAAUGAACCGUGAGGCUUAACCUUACAACGCCGAAG
rnacentral:rRNA from 1 species